rnacentral:lncRNA from 1 species
UGGAUACGCAACAACUAAGUUCCAGGACUAAAGCACACUAACCAUUUCUCCAAGCACCUUUUUCUCCGAGUCAAGUGAUCGAACCCGGUUUCUUAAUGCCAGAAUUUCCUCGUCCAGCCUCUGGUUAUGCUCCCUUGCUCUCUGUAGGUCAGUUGUACCUAAAGAGAGAAGAAGCCCUGUCUUUUAGGUACUUCAGACGUGUCUAGACUCUCCACGGAGGAGUCUUACUAACAGCUUUGAGGAGCUCACUAAGCAAUCACUACCCAGUCCGUCGUCGGGUCUCUACAGAAACACAGCCUAUCUGGAAGCUUUCCUGAAUUCCUUUCUAGUGUUCCUACCAUAUCCCACGUUUACUCCUAGACCUCUGAUCUCAAACUUGCCAUUUCCCAAGCAUUCUCUAUAAGACUACAUGCUCCCACACGGCAGCUCAAAACUCUGGUUUUUGUAAGCACAUUUUGUAAGAUUCGUGCAAGAAAACUGUUCAAUGACCCAUUUCCCAGAAUGAAUCCCCACAGUUAAUGGCACAUGACUGCAUUUUGGAAGACCAAAGGAUGUAAAUACCCACGUGGUCAGUGUGAGAAUUUUAAUAGCAGGCCCAAGUGGAAACAGCACAAACGCACAUCAGCACAAAUGGCUCACUGCAGCAUCGGUGGGAUGUGAUCGAGGCAGGAGACUGUUACACAAAAUGGUGUGAGACUAAGCAGGAGAGCAAACUGAAGGAAUGGAGAUGGCAGGCGAGACGGCCCAGAGGACAGACUAGCCUGUCUACAGCUGGAGUCCAGUGGUGGUGGUGACCGACUGGGUGGAAGCAAACUUUUCAAUUCUGUCACGUUGUCCUUUGUGUGUGCUUCGGUG